rnacentral:tRNA from 1 species
GGCCCGUUGGUCAAGCGGUUAAGACACCGCCCUUUCACGGCGGAGACAUGAGUUCGAUUCUCGUACGGGUCACCA